UACAGAGGGUGCAAACGUUGCUCGGAAUUAUUGGGCGUAAAGCGCGUGUAGGCGGCUCGAUAAGUCGAUUGUGAAAGCCCUUGGCUCAACCAAGGAAGUGCAGUCGAAACUGCCGAGCUCGAGUCCCGAAGAGGGUGGCGGAAUGCCCAGUGUAGAGGUGAAAUUCGUAGAUAUUGGGUAGAACACCAGUGGCGAAGGCGGCCACCUGGGAGGCGACUGACGCUGAGACGCGAAAGCGUGGGUAGCAAACAGG
rnacentral:rRNA from 1 species